rnacentral:rRNA from 1 species
CGACUCUCGGCAACGGAUAUCUCGGCUCUCGCAUCGAUGAAGAACGUAGCGAAAUGCGAUACUUGGUGUGAAUUGCAGAAUCCCGUGAACCAUCGAGUCUUUGAACGCAAGUUGCGCCCGAAGCCGUCCGGCCGAGGGCACGUCUGCCUGGGUGUCACG